rnacentral:lncRNA from 1 species
AUGAACCGAACACUUGAAACCUGGAACAGAAGUUGCAACUGCUCACAGUUAUAUAGUGUCUGCCUGGCAUUUAACUGCAGGGAGGGUACCACAAGCUUUAAUCCUGCUGAUGCAAGUGAAAAAUCAAGCAAGCCUACAAGAGGACACAAAAAGCACCUGGAAAAAAUACCAUAGGGAGUGCUGGUGCAGUAACUUUUGAAAGAACAUUCUGGCACAGUAUUGAAUAUUAUUUGGAAUACUAUUCAUUGGAAUUUAAAGCGUAUCUGAAUUUUGGAAGUUUCCCACUAGUCUAACAGAUGUGGUAAGCAAUUAUUGCAUGCUAAAAAUUCUACCCUUAACCUUAACCCUCUGUUGUUUCUGGGUGGGUUUUUGGACAGAGGACAACUUUUUCUUUAUUUUAUUGCAACUGUGGCAAAGAACUUCUGAUCUGUUGCCAGAACAUUAUAGUGUGUUCUUCCUCGGGACAAUCCUUUAGGUUUUAUAGCUUAUAUUUUUGCAUAAACAAUUUGUAGUUGCAGAAGUGCAAAAGCAUAGUCAUUAAAAUCUGGUUAAUAUGAGGCAAUAUAAGUGUGAGGCUUAGACAGCUUGUGGUUAGAGAAGAGAUAAUAUAGAUUGUUAAUAUAGAUUGUAC